rnacentral:rRNA from 1 species
UACGUAGGGUGCAAGCGUUAUCCGGAAUUAUUGGGCGUAAAGCGCACGUAGGCGGAUCGUUAAGUCGGGGGUGAAAUCCUGGAGCUCAACUCCAGAACUGCCUUCGAUACUGGCGAUCUUGAGUCCGGAAGAGGUGAGUGGAACUCCUAGUGUAGAGGUGGAAUUCGUAGAUAUUAGGAAGAACACCAGUGGCGAAGGCGGCUCACUGGUCCGGUACUGACGCUGAGGUGCGAAAGCGUGGGGAGCAAACAGG